rnacentral:rRNA from 1 species
GAACGCUGGCGGCGUGCUUAACACAUGCAAGUCGAACGGAAAGGCCCCUUUGGGGGUACUCGAGUGGCGAACGGGUGAGUAACACGUGAGUAACCUGCCCUUGACUUCGGGAUAACUUCAGGAAACUGGGGCUAAUACCGGAUAGGAAUCCUUGCUGCAUGGUGGGGGUUGGAAAGCUUCGGCGGUUUUGGAUGGACUCGCGGCUUAUCAGCUUGUUGGUGGGGUAGUGGCUUACCAAGGCUUUGACGGGUAGCCGGCCUGAGAGGGCGACCGGCCACAUUGGGACUGAGAUACGGCCCAGACUCCUACGGGAGGCAGCGGUGGGGAAUAUUGCACAAUGGGCGGAAGCCUGAUGCAGCAACGCCGCGUGCGGGAUGACGGCCUUCGGGUUGUAAACCGCUUUCAGCAGGGGCGAAGCUUGUGGUGACGGUACCUGCAGAAGAAGCACCGGCUAACUACGUG